CAGCGCCCUCUGCUGAUACUUGAUAGACCUGCAAUUAUCAAGUGGCUGUAAACUCGCCGAACCGAGGAAAAGAUAUCAAAAUAUCUGCGGAUAAAUACUGAAUGAUUGUUUCUGUGCAGGUCUGCGGCCUAAAGGGUCGGCGCUCCUGUCUCCGAUUCCGAAGGUCCAGGCGGGUUACAUCGGUUUAUGGCCGAACCGAGGAAGACAUAUCAUCAACAUAUCUGCGGAUAAAUACUGAAUGAUGUCUACGGCCUAAAGGGUCGGCGCUCCUGUCUCCCAUUCCGAAGGUCCAGGCGGUCCAGGCGGGUUACAUCGGUGCCGUCAACUGGAUGGGAGUGAGGGGACCCAGGCGCCCCCAUUCAGGCUGGGGUCAGCCCGCAGAUCCUCUGACGGGUAACGCACUGGCACGGCAGUGCGGUUGUAGUACACCAGUCUCGCCAUCAACUCUUUGACAACAUCUGGUCUCUUCCCGGAAAGGUUCCACCAGCUUCCCGGGAAGCUCGGAAGCAUCGGCGGUGGCGUCCAGUCUCCGUAACCGGGAUCUCCAGUCAGAAGUUUCCAGUCUCCGGCUCGGAUGGAGGCUUGCACGGCUGUAUUCCAAAUCCCAUAUCCUUUCUGCAGGGAGCCGCUCCGAGCUCGGUUAUAGAGAGGGUCUAUGUUGUGGAGGAUCUCCAAUCUGGGAGAUUCCUUCUCCUCACUAAUAGCUUCCCAAACAUCAUACCCAUCCACCCCCUUUGUUAGGGACUCGUUGCCACCUGCUAGUCGUACCAGGGUGGGAUACCAGUCGGUAAUGUGCACCAGGGCUUUACUAACCCGCCUCUUCUUUCUUAAUAGAGGGCUGUGGACAAAUCCCAGACCUCGGACUCCACCUUCCCAGUAGGUGCCCUUACGCCCCCUGAGGGGCCAGUUGCUGCCACCGGACAACGGCUGGCCGCCAUUGUCUGUUGAAAAGAUAAUGACACUGUUUUGGUAGUAACCAUACUUUCGGAGGGCGUAUGUUACAUUCCGAACUGCCUCGUCCACGGCAGAGACCAUAGCGGCGUACUUCCUGCGAGCCACGUUGCCGAGCCCACGGUAUGGAUAGAUGUACUCCCGCGGGGACUGCAGCGGGGUGUGAACGGCUUGGAAGGAAAGGUAGAUAAAGAGCGGCUGGGAUAACGGAUCAUGUGACGCUAGGAUCUUGCGGACCCUUUGCGUGUACAAAUGGGUGGAGUAUUUACCCCUCUGAUCCCAGGCUACGGUUUCGUCCUCGUGGAGAUCAAAACCACACAGACCAGGACCGUCGCAGGAGUUGUAGGUGUAGUAGUUGACGCUACCGGUCAGGGAGCCGAAAUAUGUGUCAAAGCCGCGCCGUGUUGGCAGACACUCCUUCUUGUAAAAACCCAAGUGCCACUUCCCCACCAUGUGGGUGGAGUAGCCGAGCUCCUGCAGCCUCUGAGGGAGCGUGACGUGUUGGAAGGGGAGGCAGUUGGGCUGGCGGGGCCGGAUGAUGGAGUGUUGAAGGCCUGUGUGAAUCUGGUACCUGCACGAUUGAUAGAAGAUACCAAAUAUCAAUAUUGUCAUGCAUUGUAUCUGUUAAGUUAUAGUAUUGGCACACGAACAUCAAAGCGCUAAUAAUAAUAAUAAUAAUACAUUUAAUUUAUGACGCAAUUUACAUCAAAUGAAUGAUCUCAAAGUGCAACAGGUACAAUAGAAGAAUAAAAGUUAACAGCAAGUGUCACAAUAAGAACAUCCAAAAUAAGAAUACUGUAAACCCGAAUGUUCAAAGUACUUAAAUAAAUGAAGUUAUGCAUACUUAAAGUUCUUAAAAAAGUUCUAAUAACUUAAUUAUGUCAAGUUCAUUUAACAUGUUGUUCCAUUUUGAGUACUUUUAACUAAUUGAACUAUGGCUAGGGCGGUGGUUAGCGCGCAGACCUCACAGCUAGGAGACCAGGGUUC